GGUAAAGCGGAUUGGGAGAUGGGAAUCAGUCAGGUUUUGGUCAUACAUGUGAUUGGGUAUGUUAGAUUGAGACUGGGUGGACGGACCUGGGUAUACUGUGUAUACUGUGUUUACUUGGUAUGCAAUGCACCUGAGGAAGACUGAAUGGAAUUGGUCGAAAUUCGUUGUGCUAGUCUUUUAUUGUAAUAAAAAGUUAUUUUAUACUUUUUACUGGGUUCCUGACAUUUUAUCCAGAAGAAUAUCGCUAACUUUCUGGGGGACCUGCAACACUUUCAACACCUACAGUGGAUGCUCCUACAUGCUGCCAUAGUUUAGAGCUGACUUAUAU